UGACUUUGGUGCAUAGAUUUCUGAGAGU
rnacentral:piRNA from 1 species